rfam:Canis lupus familiaris chromosome 1, whole genome shotgun sequence.
AGGAGGAACAGCCCCAGUGGCGGGGCAGCUCUGGAAACCUGGAUUCAGCUCCGGCAGGAACUCCGUCUGCAGGGCCUGGAGGCUCCGGGGCGGG